UAUAACUUAAGCCAUAAAACUUAACAGAGAAAAAUGUGUGUUUAGCAUGAUUUAAACCUUAAGUAUUUUUAUGGGUUUUCUUUCCAGAGAACCAGAGGACGAAAGAGAAGCUUUGUUCCCGAGGAAGAAAAGCAUGAGGAAAGAGUUCCUAGAGAAAGAAGGCAGAGGCAGUCUGUGUUGCAAAAGAAGCCCAAGGCUGAAGACUUAAGAACAGAAUGUGCAACUUGCAAAGGAACUGGAGAUAAUGAGAAUCUUGUCAGAUGUGAUGAAUGCAGACUGUGCUACCAUUUUGGCUGUUUAGAUCCUCCUUUGAAAAAAUCUCCUAAGCAAACGGGCUAUGGAUGGAUUUGUCAGGAAUGUGAUUCUUCGUCUUCUAAGUUAUGUUUCCAGAGCCUGCUGGAGGAGAUAAACCCAUUGCAAAUGAAGACAGCAUUCAUUUUCCUUCUACCUCAGGCCACACAGAAUUGAUUGGGGUAAUAAAAUGACAGCACCUUGUAAUAUACUGAAGGCUCUUUAAUUCGAAAACCAGCUCCAGCCUGAUUCCAAGCUUGUUUAAAGCUAAUUUAUAGCUUACAUAAUUUUCAGCUGGCUGACCAAGGGUUCCUGAAUCAGAACAGCCACGUUGUUUACUGGAAGAUGAAAAUGAAGCUGAAAGAAAAAAUGCCUCUCAGGAGCUUAGCGUGGAGCAGAAAAAUCCCAAGAAAUGAAGAUUCUCUGUUGUUCUGGAGCGUUUACAAUUCAUGGUUGAGGCAACUAACAUUUCUAGUUUGUAAAGUGUUACUGUAAAAUCUAAUUUGCAAAACUCUUCUCAAUAAAGUCCUUGAAAUAGGAACUUGUA